GUGCAUGGUCGUCGUCAGCUCGUGCCGUGAGGUGUUGGGUUAAAGUCCCGCAACGAGCGCAACCCCGCCGUUAGUUGCCAGCGGUUCGGCCGGGCACUCUAACGGGACUGCCCGCGAAAGCGGGAGGAAGGAGGGGACGACGUCUGGUCAGCAUGGCCCUUACGGCCUGGGCGACACACGUGCUACAAUGCCCACUACAAAGCGAUGCCACCCGGCAACGGGGAGCUAAUCGCAAAAAGGUGGGCCCAGUUCGGAUUGGGGUCUGCAACCCGACCCCAUGAAGCCGGAAUCGCUAGUAAUCGCGGAUCAGCCAUGCCGCGGUGAAUACGUUCCCGGGCCUU
rnacentral:rRNA from 1 species